ACAAAUUAUCCUUUCCCCUCACAUAACACAAUUACCUUCAUUAUUUCCCAUUCUCUAUUUUUCUCUUUGUUUAAUCUUAAAUUUCUACAUUUUCUUUCUUCUUUUCACAUGGAUAUCAUCAUACCUUUCUACAAUCAUACAUCUCACUUGUCCACCAUACAUCUUAGGAAGACUACGAAGAAGAGUUGCGGAGAAUGUGGAGGGAAAAUCUCUGGUACUGCCUUUACUUUUCAUUCGUGCAGGGUUAAUUUGGAAGCACAUUUCAUGUGCGGAUAAAUUGAAUCGUGACCUGCCUCUUGAAAUUAUUCACCCCCUCCACUUGCAACACCGACUUCAACUACUAUGGGGUUAUGAUACGGAUUUCAUUUGUGAUAAAUUGGUCAGCUGCCUAAAGAUCAAGAGCCAUUCAGAUUUAAAGAUGGAAAGAAAAAGACAAUCUUCCACUACAGCCACUGUCACAAGCUGGGCUUCUUAAAAUAUAGGAAGGUACGCGAAGAAGAC